rnacentral:rRNA from 1 species
AUUGAACGCUGGCGGAAUGCUUUACACAUGCAAGUCGAACGGCAGCACGGACUUCGGUCUGGUGGCGAGUGGCGAACGGGUGAGUAAUGUAUCGGAACGUGCCCAGUCGUGGGGGAUAACGUAGUGAAAAUUACGCUAAUACCGCAUACGAUCUAUGGAUGAAAGCGGGGGAUCGCAAGACCUCGCGCGAUUGGAGCGGCCGAUAUCAGAUUAGGUAGUUGGUGGGGUAAAGGCCCACCAAGCCAACGAUCUGUAGCUGGUCUGAGAAGACGACCAGCCACACUGGAACUGAGACACGGUCCAGACCCCUACGGGAGUCAGCAGUGGGGAAUUUUGGACAAUGGGCGAAAGCCUGAUCCAGCCAUUCCGCGUGCAGGAUGAAGGCCCUCGGGUUGUAAACUGCUUUUGUACAGAACGAAAAGGUUUCUACUAAUACUAGGAGCUCAUGACGGUACUGUAAGAAUAAGCACCGGCUAACUACGUGCCAGCAGCCGCGGUAA